rnacentral:rRNA from 1 species
GACGAACGCUGGCGGCGUGCUUAACACAUGCAAGUCGAACGGAAAGGCCCUGCUUUUGUGGGGUGCUCGAGUGGCGAACGGGUGAGUAACACGUGAGUAACCUGCCCUUGACUUUGGGAUAACUUCAGGAAACUGGGGCUAAUACCGGAUAGGAGCUCCUGCCGCAUGGUGGGGGUUGGAAAGUUUCGGCGGUUGGGGAUGGACUCGCGGCUUAUCAGCUUGUUGGUGGGGUAGUGGCUUACCAAGGCUUUGACGGGUAGCCGGCCUGAGAGGGUGACCGGCCACAUUGGGACUGAGAUACGGCCCAGACUCCUACGGGAGGCAGCAGUGGGGAAUAUUACACAAUGGGCGGAAGCCUGAUGCAGCAACGCCGCGUGCGGGAUGACGGCCUUCGGGUUGUAAACCGCUUUCGCCUGUGACGAAGCGUGAGUGACGGUAAUGGGUAAAGAAGCACCGGCUAACUACGUG